AGGACGAACGCUGGCGGCGUGCUUAACACAUGCAAGUCGAGCGGAAAGGCCCUUCGGGGUACGUCGAGCGGCGAACGGGUGAGUAACACGUGGGCAACCUGCCCUUAGCUCUGGGAUAGCUCCGGGAAACCGGAAUUAAUACCGGAUAUGACCUAGGCCGACAUCGGCCGUGGUGGAAAGUUUUUCGGCUAGGGAUGGACUCGCGGCCUAUCAGCUAGUUGGUGGGGUAAUGGCCUACCAAGGCGACGACGGGUA
rnacentral:rRNA from 1 species